AGGACUGAUAAUAUCGGAUAACGUACCAGUAUCAAAAUUCGACAAGUAAUGAACGGGAGCAAAAUACAAGGAUUGAUGAUCAAAUUUGAGUUGUUCUAUCUACACGAUGGAUUAGAAGAUCGAAAUUGGGAAAUGUUAGUUAAAUGUCUUAAAUAUUCACCAGACGCUAUUUUUUUAUGAAUGCUUUUAAAUUGCGCGUGAUUUAACUGGGACAUGCCCAUACUUAUCUCAGUGCGCAAAAUGUAUAGCAAGCGCCAGGCUACAUUUUCAGUCAGAGUCAUGUUACUUCCAGAAGUCGAAUCUUCAGUCGAGGGGGUUUAUCAACUGCGAAUUUAAGUGAAAAAAAAAUUGUCCGCAUAAUAGUUGGAAAGUCGGACGAUGGAAACCAAAGCUGAAAAAUUGGACAGAAACAAUGCAGUAUAAUUAUGCUUCCCAUGAAAGCACUCGGUAAAUUGAUUUUCUCCUAAGCACCUGCAGAAUUAAUGGGAAAUGACAAGAGGUUUGUUUCAAAUUCUUUUAUUGGUUUAUUUUUCAAUGGCAUAAAAAUAAUACAGUCUAAUUCAUAUGUGACGGUGAACGGUCUGCGCCAGUUCAUGUAAGCAAAGAAACAAAUUUAGCUCUCUUAGGUUGAACUCAUAAACUCUCUUAUAGGUUAUUGAUAAUAGCAACAGCUUCGUGAUUAGCUAAUGACAUAAUUAUUUUUGACUAUUUUCAUGAUAGCGCCGAUAUAAAUAACUAAUAGCUGGAACAAUGCUUCAUGUCUGCAUGCAACUGUAAUACUGAAAAUAUUUUCGCGCAUGGCUAAUGAAGUUGGUGCGUUUGCAACAUAUAGAGUUUCCGCCAUACUUUAAAUCUAUGUCAAUCUAUUCAUGUGACAACAAAAUAAAUAUUAUUGUAAAUAUUUUUAAUUGAAGGACUAUUAACUCAAUGGAAUAAAUGUCCUGUAUGCCUAUGUCCGAUGAUUCAUGUGUAAAAAAUCUAAAGCCAUAUAUUACUCGAAACCCUGGAUUAUAAAUGUUUUACAUAUAAUAUACAAUAUAUACAGUAGCACUAUCUGAUAAAUGCUACAGAAAUUUCUAAGCUUUUCAAACUUCCAGUCAUUGAUGUCAGUGAUGAUUAAUUUAAGGUCAUAUAAUGAAUCAAGGUCAUAAAAAAAAACUUAGCCUGCCCAAUUAGUAUAUCGUAUAUCGAUUACAGCAUGUAAACAUGAACCUCUCGGUAACAUUAAUCUAAUGCAUUAUAUUUUCUGCAUCUACUAUCAACAUUUGUGCCACAUUUUUGGUAUUCUCAUGUAUAUAUAAUACAAAGACGGCUUGAGGACAAUGCAAUUAUAUCCGGAUAUGGCUUACUCUAAUCAAAAUCCUUUCUACAAUAACACUGUUUAAUCAAAGUCAAAAGAGUUUCUCAGAUUCUAUAACCACUUCCAGCUUUUGACAACAAUGGUGAUUAAGGUCAUAUAAUUAAUAAGGUUGUCAAAUAAAACUUAACCUGCAGGAGAAAUCCGGUGCCGAUUACUAUACAAUAUGUAAAUAUGACCAAUAUAAGCUGUGCAAUCAACAUGAAUUAACUUGGCGCAAAUUUCUGCUAGACUACAUUAUUUCCGUAUUUGCUAUGUGCAUAAAACAUAGUUUAGAGUCAACUUGGGUACUACAAAUUAUAUCCAGAUGUGUCCUUCUCAGCAUUAUAGGACUAAUCCUUUUUACGAUAACACUGCGUAUAGUAGUUUUUGUUACCAGUCGGAUACAAAUCACGUAUACUAUAUGUAGGUUAAUACGAACCAAAAAACCGCUGGACAACAUAAAUCAUAUUGACGUUGUUCUACAUUCUACUAUAGCAUUUCUGCUUCACUUCUUGGCUGGAAUAUAUAUAUAUAUAUAUAUAUAUAUAUAUAUAUAUAUAUAUAUAUAUAUAUAUAUAUAUAUAUAUAUAUAUAUAUAUAUAUAUAUAUAUAUAUAUAUAUAUAUAUAUAUAUAUCAGGAUAUAACUGUGUGCAUAAUCAAUGUUACAAUUAUUUUUCUGAGUUUCAAAAAAUUUCUAAACAUAGUCUGGUCUAAUACAUUGAUUAUUUGUAUGUAAAUAUGAACAACAAAACUAUGGGCAACAUCCAUUACCCUGGCGUGACUAAACAUAAUGUAUUCUUCAUUCGUUAUGCAAGAAUACUUUUUAGCAUUAAAAUGGUUUGAAAUAUAUGUCAUUCAAAUUUUUUGAUAAUGAAAAAUUAACCAAGAAGAUCUCAUGCAACAAAAUAAUGAAUCUAUUCAAUUUAAAGAGAUCAGAUCCCUUUUUGGAAACUGCAGUAUACAAACAUCUAGCUGUAAGUCUAACCCCAGAUUGUCCGACUGUUUCCCAGGCCUCUCAUGUUACUAACACAGCUUACUUUCACUUCUUUUAACCUGUGUGCCUGGGUAAUAUAAUAAAAUUUAUCAGGUGCUUUGCUGGAAAAUGUGCGAUUAUUUUCGUUUUAUCCUUGUCAUCAACGAAAUUAUGAAUGCAAUUUCCAACUAUAUCCGGAGGACAGGAGUGAGUAUACUCGGAAACAUAUUUUGAGCCCUUGGGAAACCUGCAAUAUCUACUCGGCUUUAUAUCUUGAUCCUUGUUCGUGCGCAAUUAUAUCAUUGAACACAAAAAUCAUAAAAGCGUUUAUUUUGUUUAAGCGUUUAUUUUGUGUAAACUUUGUUUUCCCUUAAUUGCAGUUAAUCAAUUGGCCAGAGCAAGUCGAAGAAGAGCCUGAAGAGUAUAAGUAAGGAAAUUUAUUUUAUAUUUGGCCGUGAGCAUGCAUCUAACAUGUGCUUGUUUCGCCAUGAUUCAAAUUUUCAAUGCCAAAUGGUAAUGCAUUGUACUUCCACCGUAUACCCACUAUAUUGCCUAUUCCCAAUGUAAUGAAAACUACGAGUGAAUGCUAACUAUGGGCGAUGUAAUGUUCUCUGUGUCGAUGCACAUAUGGGAUAGCACUGCAUUGUGCGAUUGAAUGUUGAACAAAUUAAACUAAAGAUUUAACUAAAUCCAAACAGCAUUCGUAAGCAAAGCUUAGAAUUGAUAAUCUAAAUGAAGUUGCAAGCACAAUUCAAUACACAAGAUAUGUCAAAUCACAAGCCAGGAAGACCUAGCUUCAUAAAAUUUUCUGAAUCCAGAAUGCACUAUCGGUUUGCCAUAAUAAUUAUUAUGAGAUAUCUUGAAGUACAGUAUUAUCUAUUCUUCUGAGUGGCUGAAGCACAAC